CCUACGGGGCGCAGCAGUGGGGAAUAUUGGACAAUGGGCGAAAGCCUGAUCCAGCCAUGCCGCGUGUGAAGAAGGCCUUCGGGUUGUAAAGCACUUUCAGUGGGGAAGAAAGCCUUGGGGCUAAUACCCUCGAGGAAGGACAUCACCCACAGAAGAAGCACCGGCUAACUCCGUGCCAGCAGCCGCGGUAAUACGGAGGGUGCGAGCGUUAAUCGGAAUUACUGGGCGUAAAGCGCGCGUAGGCGGUCUGAUAAGCCGGUUGUGAAAGCCCCGGGCUCAACCUGGGAACGGCAUCCGGAACUGUCAGGCUAGAGUGCAGGAGAGGAAGGUAGAAUUCCCGGUGUAGCGGUGAAAUGCGUAGAGAUCGGGAGGAAUACCAGUGGCGAAGGCGGCCUUCUGGACUGACACUGACGCUGAGGUGCGAAAGCGUGGGUAGCAAACAGGAUUAGAUACCCCGUAGUC
rnacentral:rRNA from 1 species